CUACACUAAACUUUCUUUAUUCUAGAUUCUGAUGAUUUAAUAAUGCUAAUUUACUUUACAUCUACUGCUAUAUUAUUUCUUUUAAAAUGAAGAUAAAAGAUCUAAAAAUAAUUUUAAAAGGAAUUUAAGUAUAAAAUAGAUAAUGAAUAUCGAUUUAAGUUCCUAAUACUUAAAGACCUUUUAUUAAGUGAAUUAACCUACAAUUGCCUAUUAGUUCAGAUUUCAAUCAUCACUAAAAUUAAAUCUGCCCAUUAUCUCUUCUUUUUUGGAGCAGAUUUAAUACUUUGAUGCUACCUCAUCAGACAGCUCCACUCCUCAUUCUAGCACUCUGAAGCAUUAUUAAGUAUCCCUGAAAAUGAUGACACUCCUCUUUUACUGAUAGAAAGAUCAAUAUCAAUUUUUAAAAGCAAUAAUAGACUCAAAUAGAAAAAUGAUCCUAGAAGUGGACAGAAAAAUCAACAGAGAUUGGCUCUAUGGCAAAUUUACCAAAAUGAUACAGAAUUCUUCUUAUCAAAAUACUAAAGUCUCCAACUUGCAUGGAUUUCCAAGGAAACACAGUUCCACCCAUCCAAAGUUAUCUGUGCUUUGUAACACCCUGUAUAUGAAGACUGUGGUUGCUCAACUUCAACUCUAGAGUCAGCUCCCUCGUUCACUGUGUCCUUUUCGAACUUGAGUCCAAAGGAAAAAAAUACAGGUUCUUUUCCUGGAUGGAUUCGCAGCUUCCGAUGUGCAGCUGAUAACUCGGGAUUUCUAUGGGUAAGUCUUCAUUUGGUUCAUCGUCCUCUAAAGUGAUGGAUGAAAUCCUUACAUCUGAGGACCCAAUUUGCAAGCAUCAUCUGUGCCAGUCCAUUUUCUAUCUGUCUUAUUUCUCUUAUCUCAGACCUUGGAACUUCUGCACAUCUACUGAAUCUGCAUAUGUUACCAUGGCAACUGCAUCAGAAAAUCAGGGCCCAGGAGUGAGGAAUUCAGGUCUCUUCACUUGGAUACUCUUCCCCAUCUGGGGCUCCCAGAAGCUACCGAGAAGGCACUGGAGCUGUUGAUGACCAGCAAACACUGUCCUUGCUGAUCUCAGGUCUAAUCUGUGACUUGGGUAACUGCAGACUACCAAUGUAUCAGAUGUUAGUGUGAUUGUUACAGGCACUUUUAUUCCCUUCUUAGCAUCACUCUGAAAACUGAGUGAUGUGUAUAUGUCAAUCCCAGCCUCCCAAUUUAUCUCCCCCGCCUAUAUCCUACUAACCAUAAGUUUGUUUUCUACUUCUCUAACUGUUUCUGCUUUGUAGAUAAGUUCAUUUGUACUCUUUUUCUUUUUAAGAUUCCACAUAAAAGUGGUAUCAUAUACUAUUUGUCUUUCUCUGACUUCACUCAGCAUGAUAAUCUCUAGGUCCAUCCAUAUUGCUGUAAAUGGCAUUAUUUCGUUAUUUUUUAUGGUAUGACAUAGAUGUACUAUUAUAUAUAAAAUAGGUAACUAAUAAGGACCUGCUCUAUAGCACUGGGAACCCUACUCAAUACUCUGUAAUGACCUAUAUGGAAAAGAAUCUAAAAAAGAGUGGAUACAUGUAUAUGUAUAACUGAUUCACUUUGCUAUAUACCUGGAACUAACACAACAUUGUAAAAAUUAUAAUAAUUUUUUUAAGUAAACAAAUGAGACCUAAAAAAAGGUGAAUGAACCUUCUCCAUUGGAUCAGAAGGAAACACUGCAAAGGAGACAGGAUAAACAGUCACAUUUACAAAAAUAACAGACCUUCCACUUGUUUUUGAAUUCUGUUUUCCCAACUUGCUACCUUCUUUUUACUGAUGUUUUUUUACUCAAAAAUUGGAAUAAUAAUAGAACCGACCUCUCAGAAUUGAGUUGUAGAAUUUAACACUAAUAAAUGUAGAGCAGUUGGAAAUUUGGUACA
ensembl:lncRNA